CGCCCCCAAACCUUGACCCCGCCCCCUCACUCAGACCCCACCCCCCUCAUUGUGUUUCCUCCCCACCAAACCCCUGACCCCUCCCCCAUUUCUGACCCCGCCCCCCAUUUCUGACCCCGCCCCCCUCAUUGUGACCACGCCCCCAUUUCUGACCCCGCCCCCUGACUCUGGCCCCUCCCCCCGCAGGCUGCGGCUCCAUGGGGGGCCCCCCCGUGCCCCCCCCCCCCCCGCUGGCCCUGGGGGGUCUCCCCGCGGGGGGAGGGGCGGCGCUGCGGGGGGGCCCUGCUGGGGGGGGGCUGGGUCCUCACGGCCGCCAGCUGCUUCCUGGGGGCUCAGGACCCCGAGGCCUGGGAGGCGGAGCUUUGGGGGGCGGAGCUUGGAGGCCCCACCCCUUCUCCUUCUGGCCCCUCCCCCUCCCCUUCAGACCCCUCCCCUUCCCAUCUUGGCCCCUCCCCUUUAUUUGGCCCCGCCCCCUCUGCCCCCUCCUCUCCCCCAAGCUCCUCCCCCUCCCCUUGUGGCCCCGCCCCCUCAGGCCCCUCCCACUUCCCUGCCCCCUCCCCUUUAAUUGGCCCCUCCCCUCUGGCCCCCCCAUCAGGCCCGGCCCAUCCUGGCCCCUCCCACUCCCCUGAAUCUUCCCAUUCUGACCCCGCCCCCUCAGGCCCCUCCCCCUCCCUUGGCCCCGCCCACCCCGACCCCUCCCGUUCUGACCCCGCCCCUCCAAGCCCCGCCCCCCGCGGGUCCCGCCUCCACCUCCACGGGGCCUUCGCGGGGGCGGGGCCUGAGGGGGCGGGGCCGGACCUGGCGCUGCUGAAGCUCCGCCCCUCGCCCACCUGGGGGCCGCACCUGAGGCCGCUCUGCGCCCCCUACCGGGGGCACCUGGCCACGCCCACCCUGCCCCCGGCCACGCCCACCGCCUACCGGGGCACCUGCUGGGCGCUGCUGCCAGACCCCCGGGACCCCGCCCGGCUCCGCCCGGCCCAGGUGAGCCCCGAGCGCUGCCCCGGGAAUCCCGAAAACGACGGAAACGGCCCCAAAAAACCCCAAAGUUUCUGCAUCAACGGCACCCACGGCCCAGGUGCGGGAACGCGGGGAGAAAACCGGGGAUUUCGGGAAAAUUCGGGGAUUUCGGGAAAAUUCGGGGAUUUUCAGGGAAAUUCGGGGAUUUUCAGGGAAAUUCGGGGGAAAUUUGGGGAAUUUUGAGAGAUUUUG
rnacentral:lncRNA from 1 species